ensembl:lincRNA
GGGAUUACAGGCGUGCGCCACCACGUCUGGCAAAGUAGAUUUAAAAUCACACAUGUUCUGUUUUAAAUUUAGAUCUUUAAGAAGUUCAGGGAAGAAUUGGAAUUACCUUUGAAUUAUUUUUCCUGCAUAUUAUUUUGGAAAUUUAUACUUAAUGUAUCUAUUUAUUUCAUCCUUAAAAAUGAAAAAAGUAUAGUGCUCAUUUCACUCAGAUGUCCUUAAUUUUAUCAGCUCUGAAGAACAUAGAUAAUCAUGGUGUGCCUGGCAGCAGUCCUCAUCAGAAGAAUUCUUGUCUUUGUUUGAAGGCAGAGGCUUUGAUUAAACUCUCAGAUUCUGAAUCUUCAGAGGAUGCAAUUCAUACUCUUGAUCAGGUUUCGGAUGCAAAUAAUGUCCCAGGACUUUUGGUUCUCAAAAGUAUGGCCUAUCUGAACAAGGGCUCCUUGGAUGAAGCUACCAAGGUUGGUU